AUGACUCCCAUGUGGCUCUUCCUCUUCCUGCUGUCAGCUCCCAGAUGCUCAGUGACCAGCAGUAACUACUGGAACUGGAUCCGUCAGCCACCAGGGAAAGGUUUGCAGUGGAUGGGGUACUGGACAGGGGGCACAAGCUACAACCCAGCCUUCCAGGGCCGCAUCUCCAUCACCGGUGACACGGCCAGGAACCAGUUCUCCCUGCAGCUGAGCUCCGUGACCACCGAAGACACAGCCAUGUUGUGCAAGACACAGUGA